UUAAAAAGCAAAGCUAGAGAAAUUUAGUGACGCAAAGCUAAAGGGACUAAGGUUUUUAACUAUGUCAGCCAGUUGCCGG
rnacentral:ncRNA from 1 species